CCUCCCAUGGCGUAGUGGUUAACGCGCCCCAACUAGAGAUCGGGGAGUCGUGAGUUCGAUUCUCACUGAGAAGA
rnacentral:tRNA from 1 species